GACGAACGCUGGCGGCGUGCUUAACACAUGCAAGUCGAACGGAAAGGCCCUGCUUUUGUGGGGUGCUCGAGUGGCGAACGGGUGAGUAACACGUGAGUAACCUGCCCUUGACUUUGGGAUAACUUCAGGAAACUGGGGCUAAUACCGGAUAGGAGCUCCUGCUGCAUGGUGGGGGUUGGAAAGUUUCGGCGGUUGGGGCUGGACUCGCGGCUUAUCAGCUUGUUGGUGGGGUAGUGGCUGACCAAGGCUUUGACGGGUAGCCGGCCUGAGAGGUUGACCGGCGACAUUGGGACUGCGAGAGGGCGCAGACGCCUACGGGAGGCAGCAGUGGGGAAUAUUGCACAAUGGGCGGAAGCCUGAGGCAGCAACGUCGCGUGCGGGAUGACGGCCUUCGGGUUGUAAACCGCUUUCGCCUGUGACGAAGCGUGAGUGACGGUAAUGGGUAAAGAAGCACCGGCUAACUACGUG
rnacentral:rRNA from 1 species